rnacentral:rRNA from 1 species
GCGAACGCUGGCGGCAGGCCUAACACAUGCAAGUCGAGCGGGCACCUUCGGGUGUCAGCGGCAGACGGGUGAGUAACGCGUGGGAACGUACCCUUAGGUUCGGAACAACUCCGGGAAACUGGAGCUAAUACCGGAUACGCCCUUUUUGGGGAAAGAUUUAUCGCCGAAGGAUCGGCCCGCGUCUGAUUAGCUAGUUGGUGAGGUAACGGCUCACCAAGGCGACGAUCAGUAGCUGGUCUGAGAGGAUGAUCAGCCACACUGGGACUGAGACACGGCCCAGACUCCUACGGGAGGCAGCAGUGGGGAAUAUUGGACAAUGGGCGCAAGCCUGAUCCAGCCAUGCCGCGUGAGUGAUGAAGGCCUUAGGGUUGUAAAGCUCUUUCACCCACGACGAUAAUGACGGUAGUGGGAGAAGAAGCCCCGGCUAACUUCGU